CACGUAGGGCGCAAGCGUUGUCCGGAAUUAUUGGGCGUAAAGAGCUCGUAGGCGGUCUGUUGCGUCCGCUGUGAAAACCCGGGGCUCAACUCCGGGCCUGCAUUCGAUACGGGCAGACUAGAGUUCGGUAGGGGAGUCUGGAAUUCCUGGUGUAGCGGUGAAAUGCGUAGAUAUCGUAAGGAAGACCAGUGGCGAAGGCGGGUCUCUGGACAGUUCCUGACGCUGAGGCACGAAGGCCAGGGGAGCAAACGGG
rnacentral:rRNA from 1 species